GUCCUACGGGAGGCAGCAGUGGGGAAUAUUGCACAAUGGGGGAAACCCUGAUGCAGCGACGCCGCGUGAGUGAAGAAGUAUUUCGGUAUGUAAAGCUCUAUCAGCAGGGAAGAAAAUGACGGUACCUGACUAAGAAGCCCCGGCUAACUACGAGCCAGCAGCCGCGGUAAUACGUAGGGGGCAAGCGUUAUCCGGAUUUACUGGGUGAAAAGGGAGCGUAGACGGUAGAGCAAGUCUGAAGUGAAAGC
rnacentral:rRNA from 1 species